rnacentral:rRNA from 1 species
GGAUGCGAUCAUACCAGCACUAAAGCACCGGAUCCCAUCAGAACUCCGAAGUUAAGCGUGCUUGGGCGAGAGUAGUACUAGGAUGGGUGACCUCCUGGGAAGUCCUCGUGUUGCAUNNN